UACGGAGGGUGCGAGCGUUGUCCGGAAUCAUUGGGCGUAAAGGGCGCGUAGGUGGCCCAGUCAGCGUGCGGUGAAAGCUCGGGGCUCAACCCCGAGUCGGCCGUGCGAACUACUGGGCUGGAGCACUGUAGAGGCAGGCGGAAUUCCGGGUGUAGCGGUGGAAUGCGUAGAGAUCCGGAAGAACACCGGUGGCGAAGGCGGCCUGCUGGGCUCUGGCUGACACUGAGGCGCGACAGCGUGGGGAGCAAACAGG
rnacentral:rRNA from 1 species